UACGCGGGUUAGAUAGAGAUUUAGAUCAGUCAGGGAUAGGGCAAUUUCGGGCGAUUUUCAAUACCGGUAUUAUUGAAGAUGACCAUUUAAAAAUCUUUUAGUCAUAUAGUCAUUUAAAAUGGUUCGUUUUAAUAUUCUUAUACACAUAAACCGUGCCGUCUUCUAUUUCAUAACUUUUACAGAUUCCGUCGUAAUUUCAUGACGUUUUAAUAAAAUGACAAAAAAUCCAAUAAAAAAAAUAAAAAAAACAACAAAAAAGUCCAAUAAGUACCGGAAUUCCGGUAUUGAUCCUCUUCAUCUUCAAUUAUGGUAUUGAAAUAUCAAAAUUCCGGUGUUUCAGGAUCCCCGAAUUCUGAUAUUCAUACCCUAAACAAAGAGUAGUACAAUGAAAAUAAAAACCGGCCAACAGUAUAUCGGGUGAUCCUCAAUGCAGUGUUGCGUAGGUCCCAUCCAUCUCAGUAGGUAAAUGUACUAAAGGACCUUGUAAAAAAUAUUAAAUGGACAAACUAAGCAAUUUUUGCGGCGCUGACGUCUACUUACUUAUUAUUAAGAAAGCAUGACUUUACAAUCACUCAAAAAUGGCUCAACAAAUCAUGUUCAAAAUAGUUUUUAUUGAUUUUCUUCCUUAGUUUUAGUGUAAUUCCCUAGUUCUGGCCAUUGAGAUUUAUAUCUAAGGACGGACCUUACGGGCUCUGAGGAUGCUGCUGCAGUCUAACGCAACUAGUUGCGACCAAUCGCGCGUGUGAUGCGAACUCAUAAACCAAUCGCGUUUGGCUCGAAUUCGUGCGCAUGACACCGCUGUACUGGGCCCAUUCUUAUUACCCGUAAGGCCCGUCCUUAGAUAUAUGUCCAUGGUUUUAGCAUUACUUUUCUAAAUAUGAUUUGUACCUAUUGUUUAUAUUAUAGAAUUAGGUGCUUGUUUCGUAGGUAGGUAUUAUUCUUGCAUUUAAAAUUAAUUUGUGGCUAUGAUUAAUUAGUUCCCUAAUUUAAAGUGGUUUUAGUGUACAAUAGAUCCCGUUCCUUUAAGCCAAAAUAUGAUCGUUAUCGUUGGAAAACCUUUUUGGUAAGUGUUUAAUAUUGUUCCAAAAAUAACAAUAACAUUGAAUAUUAUAAAAAAAGUGAAGAAAGCGAAAGAGGUCUGGAUUGUAGCAAGUGCCAAUCCGUGGUCUCUGCCUACCCCACCAGGAAAUAGGCGUGAUUAAAUGUAUGUAUAAAAUUAAUAUUAAGAAAGAUUUUAGAUUGUUCCGUGGAUUAUUUUCGAGAAUACAAUUGGCAACAGAAAUAGCUAAAAUCUUUUUACGGUCCUGCAAUACCACUAGUAGCAGGUAGCUAUCUGAGUUAUUUAACAUAGAGGGUAUCUCUGUAAAUCUUAUAUAAUUAGUAAUCUUGAGGCCUUUCUCUAGAGACAACUUCAGCGAUUCGAAUCCUGAGUUUUUGACUUUUAUUGAUAGAAAAAAUCACGAACGUCAGUCUAAAAUGCACUUUAAAAAGUUAUAAUAAAUUUUGGACAAAAGCUGAACAUAUGAAAAUUAUUCCUAAAAAUGAGCAAUAUUAUGCUUGAGGGAACUCAGCGAUUACUUUUUUUCAAUUUUAAAAGACCAAACAUUAAAAUUAAUAAACAUGAUAUCCGCGCUCCCGGGCACGCAUUUCCAUCUCGCUUACGCUCAGUGAGUGAGAGAGGAACACCAACUUGCUGCACCUUAAGAAAGAAAAAUAAACCACAGGGCAUUUUAAGAGUAUACACAUACUCCUAUGCAUGUAGUCAGCAAAGCUAUUAGCUUUGGCACCCCUACAUACAGUGCGACAACAAAUCAUCAUGUAUUAAAAAUGAAAAACAUGAUGAUUUGUUGUCGUAUCCUGCCUUUGUAGUGUUAGAGGAUUCUUAAGGGGCCCACUGAUUAACAGUCCGCCGGACAGUAUCGGACAGUCAGAUAGAACAAAAAGUUGACAGUUCCGAACAACUGACAGACCGAUACCGACCGGCGGACGGUUAAUCAGUGUUUUUUUAACUUACGUUCCUAAUAUAGGUAUGAAGAAACAAAUUAUUGUUAGUGAAAAUAUUUUAAUUUGUGUUAUUUUAAGCGGGAUUCUACUAUAUAAACUGAAAUAAAUGUCAUAUACAAAAGAAAAAGUGACCAAGGCCUCCAGUGCCCAACGCUUUCUUUCUUUCGUAUAUUUCGUUUAUUUCAAUUUAAAAUUAUAUAUUAAGAUUAUUAAGUCAACGAUUUUAGCAAUAACGUAGAUUUAGAUAACUAUAAAUAUGAAUUAAUUCUAUUUUAUUAUAUUUAUAUUGAUAACGAUUAUGUGUUUUAAUUUAAAUUCGUAUAUGAUUUUACAUUCGUGCGUCUAUUAAUGUUGUCGGUUGAUUAACACAUUUUUUGUCUUUCUGGUUUACACUAGGUACGUACGUGGUAUUAUUUGUCAGGUUAAAACAUAUAAAAACAAACACAUGAUAUCCAAUUUCUUUAAAUGCAUGUUACGUCGUCAGAUCUUAGAAUUGAUCAUUUUUCAUAAUGGGGUAAUCAUUUCAUGGAAUGAUUGGUUGAAAACAUCAUAAAAAGUCAAACCUAACUUAAACCACACCAUGAAGUGAUCAAUUUUAAGAUGGCAUGUCAUGAAAAGACCUGUCUGUGACACAAUAAUUUGUCGUUAUUUACAGAUGUAAACAUGGCAAGAAGAAAAACCAAAAAAACUCUUGCAGAUAAGCGGGCUAUAGCAAGACUACGAAGGAGAAAAAGGUAUGAAGAAAUCAAAAAUGAUCCUCAUAAAUAUGCUAUAGAAAGGGAGAAGGAAAGAUUAAGGUAUUUAAGACGAAAAGGACAAAAGAAACUCAAAAGUGUAGCUGAUAUGACUCCAUGGGAAAAGAGGAUCCAAAGGAAAAAAUGGAGAGAAAGCUGCAGACGGCACAGAGAAAGACUGAAAAUGCGAAAACAGGAAGAAAUACAGCAGGUUCUGAUUGAUAACACGUCUUCAAACAGUGACGAAAAUGAUAAUAAAGAUGAACUCAUUAAGAUGCUAACCGAAUUGACAUAAAUCUGAACGCGACAAUUUUGCACUUUAAAAUAUACAUAAGUAUUGUGAUCAGAUUAAUUUUGUAAGUAAGUUCGUGUCCCAGAAAAUUAAUAGUACGUUCAAUCGUUCAUAUAUCGAAACAAUUAAACAAAACAAAUUAAAAUAACUUCUACAUCGAAUAUAUCAUUUAUUCUGCAUUUUAAUCCAAAACCAACCACUUACGGAGCGGCAUUCCAAUUUCACGAAUCUGAAUUUAAUUGAAUAUUGAAAUGACUCGCAGUCCUCGCAGUGCAUCUCGCGCGCAUUAAUAUGAAGUCAAGGACCGUGUAUUAUUAUCGUUCAACUAGUGUCUGCAAUAUGGAGUUAUGGAUUAUGGACCGCUCCACCUUAGCAGCUUUCCUAAGCCACGUUUUCCAGGCGACCUUGCUGACAAUUUUGAUAAUAUAACCAAAAAUAACCUUCUUAUUACAAAUUAAAUGCCGCAACAUUACAUUUUCAAUUUUCAGAAACAACGACCAAUGAAAUUGUAAUUCCAGUUAACCCAUUCCACCAAGAAAGUACGAGUAUACCUCCUAUAGCUACUGUUGAAUCUGUCGAACCAAAAACCAAGAAGCCCAAACAGCGUGCUACUAAAAUGUUGCCAGCUCGUCUCACAGAUAGACAUUUCCCUUCAAGGAUUCCAGCUACGGGGCAGAAACGCAUGCCUUGCAGAAGAUGCCAUGUCUGUAGUACAACUAAGAAGUUCAAUAAGACAAGGAGAGAAACAAGAUACUGGUGUGACCAGUGCAACGUUGCUUUGUGUGUGGAACCUUGCUUUGAGAUGUUUCACACUUGGGCUAAAUAUUGAGACGCGAAGGCUGCAUCUUCGUUGAACCGUCAAGUAUGGACUUAAACCAGAGAUUAAAAAUGCAAAGACAACGAAACACAGAAAAGACGCGAAGAUACAGAGAAGCUAGAAGAGCAGAUCCCGAGAAGUACCGGGAAUAUCUCAGAAAACGUUCAAUUCGAGAAAAAGAGAAUAGAAGAAGAGCAAAACUAGCUGCUUUGAAGCUCUGCAAGUUGCAGCAAAUCUGAGCCCAUGACUAAAUUGGAAUAAGGAGACAAUCUGGGAAUAAUCGACGUAUGACGAUGGAGGGUAAUGGCAACCAUGGGCUAAAUUCAACUACGCUCAAAAUUUAAGAAGUGAGCCUAGAGCUAACUCAUUAGAUUUAUGACUUUCGCCAGUCAUGAAAGAGACUUCACCCAUGGUGUGGCUCUAGGUUCAGACUCACUUCUUGUAUUAUUAUAGUAGUUGAAUUUUCUUUAAGUUGCAAUUGCCCUGGCUGACCUUGACCUCUUAUUUGACUCUAUUCUUCUGUAGCAAAAUGUACACAAAGAAGAAAAUAAUAGUUAAAUAAGUUUUUUUAUACAAGUCUUUAUUUGUUAUAAAUGCGGACGCAGCUCGAUUUGACGACGCGAAUUCUUGAGCUUCGAGUUUACAAUUCGCAAAAUAAAUUAUGAAUUCAAAUAAAAUUUGAAUAUUCUCAAUGUUACUCAAAAGCUUUUAUUCAUACAUAUACCCCAAUGUGUUAUAGUAAGGUACAGUCACGCUCAACAUUUUUUUACGCCAUUUGAGGUCCUAGCUCAAUUGGACAUUCCUUAACGUAAGUAUUGAACGACCAAUUUAACUAGGACCCAAAUGACUAAACAAACAUGGACCGUGACAAUACAUACGUAAAUAUAUACUACUGACUAAAUAUAAAUAGUCAGCAUGUAAUGGAUAUUAUGGAUAGUUACAGUCGAAGUGAUCAAAUAUAUCAAUGUACGUAUAUGGUAUGGUAACAUUAUAGGUAAGUGUUUUGCAACUUCGUGCGUUCGUACAUUGACUUAAGUUUAGAUAUGAUAUAAUGUCGGCUGUGCACACUCGUCGAGUUUCGGCAAAAUACCGACCCAAUCGGAACGGAAAAGGUUGAGACGAGCAGGCAACACAAUAUGAUACACACCCGCACCCGUUCUCAGCAUGCCUCGUGGUCUCGAGGCUAGUGUGUACAGCCUUCAUAAGAAGUACAGCACGAAUAUACAUGGUCAUCGAAUCCAAUAGCAACUAAGUGCUUGUUCUUAGUCGUUUAUAAAACUUUAAAAUAUUGAUUUUUCUGCAGUGAAAAUCAUCCAAUCAAAGCGAGGAAAACCGCUUCUAAUGUUCCGAGAGUUCACAUACACGGUGAGCGGUAGCGGUUUGGGGACCACCACGCGAUGGGUCUGCUCGUCAAGCCGUUCGAAAAACUGCAAGGCCACGGUGACCACCAGUCAGACAGGGGAAACUAUUCAUAUUUUGAAGAUGGCGGAGGAGCACAACCAUCUACCGCCCGCUUUCUACGUCAGUUCCACAGGACAGUAUAUUAGAUUGUGAUUUGUAUGAUACCAUAGACUUUCUUUUCUGAAUAUUUGUCUUCUGACAGACGGAUUAAACAAUCAGCUAGAAAAA